UUUGCUUAAACAGACCUACAUGAUUAAACGUCUGUCUGGAGAGACAUUACUUUUGUUUUAAAAAGCUGCUGGAAGAGUCCAGAGAACAGAGUGAUCUGAAGAGGCACCUGAAGGAGGUCACAGCAGCCAUCAGCAAGGACCCACUGUACAUCCACAGACUGUGGUCAAAACCAACCCUCACAUCCACAGAGGCUGCCAUCCAGUCUAUGCUGAGUGCCUGAAGAACAAUGACCUUGGCAGAGCAGCACUGUGACAGAUCAAGGAGUGCAGAAGCCUGUGGCCCAAGGACAUCUUUGGACGCAGCUCUGAGGACGAGGUCCAGACACUCCUGAAUAUUUAUUUCCUCACCAAACCCUGGGACAGACCGGUAUUUACGCCCUAGUAGGGUCUAACCAUAGCCUGACUGAAAUCUGCACCAAGCUGAUGGAGCUGAACAUGGAGAUCCGAGACGUGAUCCGCGGGGAUCCGCAAAGUUUGGACAGAGUAUUCCCCUCUUGUUCCCUGUAGAACUUUUUCUAAAGAAGAUGACUCAACUUCCAAUGUGUACAAUAUUCUCCAAACCGAGAAAGCCUAGGACCUCCUGAGACAGACUCUACCCAUCCUGAUGUGUGGCUACUGUUCACCAAACAAAGGCACCCAAUACUGGAGACAGGACUUCUGUUGUGGUACCCAAACUGACCACACUGAAGGACUUCAUCCUUCUAGAGACA
rnacentral:lncRNA from 1 species